GACUAAAAUGAUCUCAGUUGUAAGCUACUAUUAACAUGUCACAGCCCCCACAUUUUUUUUUUUUUACAAAGAUAAUUCAAAACAAAUGCGUCUGCCCUGGGAGCGGUGAGAAUGUUUGCACAUUCUGAUGCGGCACGCGGAAGGUUCCAGUGCCAUCCAGAUCUCCUGCUCAAACGUAAUGCACCCAGCAGACUGUGGCCCCAACUCUAGCACUUACACUGACAGUCACGGGUACCCCUCUCACCUGUGGCCACACCACAACCUCGGGGGUCCUGCAUGGUCACACCAGCGUGGUAUUUCACACUUACAGCACAUCUUAGCCCCAAGAAGCCGUGUUUCCAGUGCUCAGCAGCCACACGAGGCCAGGGCUACCCUGUGGCACCACGCAGCUUUCAGCAGAGCAGGGAGAGAUGAGGGCUGCUCCCACCCCAGGAAGCCCACCCAGAGACGCAUCUGUCACCCACGAGGAGCAGAGCGGAGAGGACGUCAGGGAAACCAUGCUUCAUGCCUGAACUACUUACUUCUGGAAUUUCCAGCAAUAGGAGUAGAAACGUGCCUCUUCAAGUGUAAGAAAGCAACAAAAGGGCUUCAGAGAUUGAACUACCGCGCUGUCGCUGGCCACCCAUGGAGGAGGGCAUUGGGGAAGGAGGUGCUCUGAGGCUGCGGUUGAGGGUGGCGUACGAGGCCUCUGCCUGGAUGACUUGUUCCUUUUCCCUGGAUGGCUGUGCACUUGC